CCGGAGUCGCCUUUUCACUGUUGACGUUGAGACUGGUGUUUUGCAGCCAGGUGCUGCUCAGAGAGCUUUUUCCUAUCAACACAGCCCUUCCCCUGUGGAGCCACGCAGGUUGCGGGAAAAAACUUCUUCCCAUGCACAGCAGUCAGCUCUAUCCAGAUCCAGUCACAAGGCUCCUCCAAGGAAAUGAAGACGUCUCACCUAAUGGGAAGCCUAAUGACUAUGGACAGAUGGAAGACGGCUCCUUUUACCACAUAUAUGUUUCACUUUAAUGAAGGGACUGCUUGUUGACAGAUAACUGUUUGGAGAGGGGAGAGAGGGAGAGAGUGCGAUCUGUCACUGUGCUGAUUUUAUUCUCCACCGUCUGUGGAUUUGGGCUUGUAACACUCAAGGCUGAAAUGUAGUUUUUGUGAAAAUAUUAUUUGAUAUAAUACACUCACGGUACAGUACAUGUUAAUGCCUGUUUGUGGUUAGUGAUUUGCUCAAGCCGGUAGUCAUGGUUUUUAAUACAGUGUGUGUGAGCGCCCGCACGCUCCCAUGUUCGUGUGUGACUGGCGUAUGUGUCUGUGCUUCCGUGCUUUGUGUGAGUCUUUGUGCUUGUGUCUCAUGUCCAAUGUGUGUGUUUGUGACUAACAAUGGGCUACAGCCCUUUUCCCCUUCAUAAACACCAGGUCAAUAACCCCGCUAGGAUCCCUGCUCCCAACCAGACUGGUUAGAUGUCACAGUGUGUAAAAAUAGAAGCUGGCAAUUCAUCGCAUCCGAUUUUAUGAAGUAAUAUCGAGACUGGAACAACACAUUGGAGAGCUGGGGAAGAUUGGUGGUCCACCAGUCAGAUAUUUAGCUCAGCCUCGCUAUACAAUUGAUACCUGCUGUCGGGUGUCAAAAUAGUUUCCAAAAACCUGUCAUCUUUUACCACCUCCAUGAGAGCUCAAUAACCAACGUCAACAGCUAAAGUUUUAUUUGAAAGCUCGUCUUGUUCUUGACUUCUCCAAGACACAUCUUGCGUAUCUUGUUCCUAAUGCAUCAGAUGUUUUAGUUCCUUAGAUAAAAAUAUGGCGGUCAAUUAAAAACGGUAAGAAAUAUUUGUUUUUGUUGUGUUGUUUCCCUUCAGGAACAUAACAAGCAAGGUGUACUGAUCAAACCUAUCAAGACCUUGGAGAGCUUGGUCAACCAUGUACUCACUUAUAGUAGGAGUAGUAUAAAAUUGUCCAGUAGCACUCCCUGCAUGCGGUGACAAGCUGCAGUCAGACCUGGGAAACUGCAGUGCGCCACAAUUGUCAUCAUUGAAAAAUGGAGACGCAGUGGAGACGGGACAGAAAUAGCAGGUGGGCUACCACGCAAAAAUAAGUGGCACAUGUUGUCUUUCAGGGGUUGUUCCUACGUCUCCGACUGGGCAGGGCACCAUCAAUCACCAGUCUGUCCCCCCCAUCAGGGGCUCUGUUCAUACACUGACCCCGCCCAGCCGGGUCGCUCUUAACUUCAAAGAUGUACAGGGGGGUUGAGGGGUGUGUCAGUGAGGUACUCCGCCCAUUUUCUCAGGAAUGUCCUAUAAGUCACACAUACAACUUUGUUUACAGUUCUUGAUUCUAUUGUGCCUUUGACUAGAUCAAGUGUAUUUUACAUGUGAGACGGACUUUGAGUGAGGGGGUUUAAGGCUGUUUGCAAAGCAAAACUUGAAUUGAAAAGAUAUACUUUCUGUUGUGUGUAACAUCUGAAACCUAGUUUCGGUCUAUUACUUACAUGCUGUGCAGCAGGCAAUGGAUUGGAGUGGCAUCUUCAGUGAGGGACUCUCCCUCAGUAACCCAACUUUGUUUACAGUUCUUGUUGUUAUGGGGUCUUUGAAAUACUGGAUCAAGUGUAUUUUAGGAGUGAGAGGGACAGCUUGAAUUGAAAAAAAAUGURCGUUGCUUUAAGUGCAACAUUUGAAGUACAAGGUGAAAUUAAUUUUAGUGGCAUCAUCUGUAAAUGCUAGCUUAAUGAUGUCAUAGUCUGUGGUGCACAGAAAGUUCAAUCUGUACAAAGAGCACUUUCUACAGCUAAUCCAGCCAAAUACCUGACAGUGUCAAAAGCAGUAAAGUUCAUAUUUUCUACCUGCUAAGGCACAAAAGGUUGCUCAACAACAUCAUUCUGUCAAUAUAUGGGCAUUAUUUCCUCACAGACAAAAGUAAAAACCUAUUUUCAGCAAAAAUAAUGAAGMUUUUUCUCUGAAGAUCUGUAUGUUAUUAAUUCAUAGUAUUUACCAUUUCCAACGUUUCAAUAAUAAAUACUAAAAAGAAGACACCAGCCUUUCUACAGUCAUUAUCUAAAAAUAAGCCCCUUCCAAGUCCAUCCUCACUCCCCAUGUUAUAUGUGAGAAGAACCGUUGUGACGAGAAAAGGGGAAAUGUCAUGAUUUCUGCCAUGAAGUAGCCUCACCCCAUGGAGCGAGAUAGAGAAUGGAGUGGUGGCAUCACCGCAUGCAUAAUUCAUGAGUGUAAAUUAACCCUGAGUGGGGCUGCUCCAUCAAUCAGGGAAGAUGCCAU